rnacentral:rRNA from 1 species
CGGGACACGUGGUAUCCUGUCUGAAUAUGGGGGGACCAUCCUCCAAGGCUAAAUACUCCUGACUGACCGAUAGUGAACCAGUACCGUGAGGGAAAGGCGAAAAGAACCCCGGCGAGGGGAGUGAAAAAGAACCUGAAACCGUGUACGUACAAGCAGUGGGAGCACGCUUAGGCGUGUGACUGCGUACCUUUUGUAUAAUGGGUCAGCGACUUAUAUUCUGUAGCAAGGUUAACCGAAUAGGGGAGCCGAAGGGAAACCGAGUCUUAACUGGGCGUUAAGUUGCAGGGUAUAGACCCGAAACCCGGUGAUCUAGCCAUGGGCAGGUUGAAGGUUGGGUAACACUAACUGGAGGACCGAACCGACUAAUGUUGAAAAAUUAGCGGAUGACUUGUGGCUGGGGGUGAAAGGCCAAUCAAACCGGGAGAUAGCUGGUUCUCCCCGAAAGCUAUUUAGGUAGCGCCUCGUGAAUUCAUCUCCGGGGGUAGAGCACUGUUUCGGCAAGGGG